AAACGUUACUUUAAAGAGGGACAGCUCUUUAGAAAUAGGAAACAUCACUCUUAGAGAGUAAUUAAACUCUUUUCCAUAGUUGGCCUAAAAGCAGCCACCCAUUAAGAAAGCGUCCAAGCUCAACGCUACCCAACAUGCCUUAAUUUCAAUAACUAACCACAACUCCUAUAAUUACACUGGACCAAUCUAUAAAAUUAUAGAAGCAUUACUGCUAAUAUAAGUAACAAGAAAAUAUUCUCCUCGCAUAAGCUUUAUAUCAGACCGUAUAAACCACUGAUAGUUAACAAUCUAAUAUAAAUAACUACAAAUAUAUGAUUUAUUAAUUCCAUUGUUAACCCAACACAGGCAUGCGUUUUCUUAAAGGACAGAUUAAAAGAAGUAGAAGGAACUCGGCAAGACUUUAAACCCCGCCUGUUUACCAAAAACAUCACCUCUAGCAUAACCAAUAUUAGAGGCACUGCCUGCUCAGUAAUAUAUUAAACGGCCAUGGUAUCCUGACCGUGCAAAGGUAGCAUAAUCACUUGUUCUCUAAAUAAGGACUUGUAUGAAUGGCCACACGAGGAUUUUUCUGUCUCCUACUUCCAAUCAGUGAAAUUGACAUCUCCGUGAAGAGGCAGAGAUAUCUUAAUAAGAUGAGAAAACCCUAUGGAGCUUCAAUUUAACUACUCAACCAGUACUAAAACGACCUACUAGGACCAAUACCCAACUGGAUAUGAGCUGUAAAUUUCAGUUGGGGUGACCUCGGAGCACAAACAAAUCUCCGAAUGAUAAUAACUAAGACUUUAUCAGUCUAAGCAAAAAUCAUUUAUUGACCCAAACUUACUCUGAGCAACGGAAUAAGUUACCCUAGGGAUAACAGCCCAAUCCUAUUACAGAGUCCAUAUCGACAAUAGGGUUUACACCUCGAUGUUGGAUCAGGAUAUCCCAAUGGUGCA
rnacentral:ncRNA from 1 species